UAGGCUUUCUAGGAAUCACAUUGGUAGU
rnacentral:piRNA from 1 species